UUUAAACAAGACUUUAUCCACACUUCUAAACACUCUUUAUGCAUCUCUAGCAUUUGUAAUCAAUCAAAUUUAUUAUAUCCUAACAUAUUCUAAACCCAAACAACACUAGAUAAGUCCUUUAGUGGUUCAACGCAAUAUUUCCGAGUUCUUAGCCCAUUUGGGACCCAAUUUCAACAAGUUUUUCAACACACUUCUAAACACUGUUCAUGCAUCUCUAGCACUUGUAAUCAAUCAAAUUUAUUGUAUUCUAACAUAUUUUAUACCCAAACAACACUAGAUAAGUCCUUUAGUGGUUCAACGCAAUAUUUCCGAGUUCUUAGCCCAUAUGGGACCCAAUUUCAACAAGUCUUUCUCCAUACUUCCAAACACUCUUCAUGCAUCUAUAGUUCUUGUAAUCAAUCAAAUUUAUUGUAUUCUAACAUAUUCUAAACCCAAACAAUACUAGAUAAGUCAUUUAGUGGUUCAACGCAUUGUUUACGAGUUCUUAGCCCAUUUGGGACCCAAUUUCAACAAGUCUUUCUCCACACUUCUAAACACUUUUCAUGCAUUUCUAGCACUUGUAAUCAGUCAAAUUUAUUGUAUUCUAACAUAUUUUAAACCCAAACAACACUAGAUAAGUCAUUUAGUGGUUCAACGCAAUGUUUCCGAGUUCUUAGCCCAUU
rnacentral:lncRNA from 1 species